CUUUUUAGGGCCUCACUUGUGGCAUAUGGGAUUUCCCAAGCUAGGGGCCACAUCGAAGCUACAGCUGCCCGCCUACACCACAGCCACAGCAACUCAGGAUCCAAGCCACCUCUGUGACCUACACCGCAGCUCAUGGCAAUGCCAGACCCUUAACCCACUGAACAGGGCCAGGAACUGAACCCAUGUCCCCAUGGAUAUUAGUCAGAUUUGUUACUGCUGAGCCACAAUAGGAACUCCUCAAAUCUAUUUUUAUUCAUUUAUUUAUUUUUCUUUUUUAGCCACACCUGCAGCAUAUGGAAGUUCACAGGCCAGGGAUCAAAUCCUAGCUGUAGCUGCAACCUAUGCCACAGCUGCAGCAACAUCACAUCCUUAACACUGCACCACAGCAGGAACUCCUCAAAUCUAUUUUUAAACAGCUAUAACUUUUUUGGACUUGUAUAAAAUCUAUAGAUAAGUUUUGGCAAAAUUAACUUGGAUCUAUGUUUUAGAAGCAUCAUUCUAAUAAUGAUAAUUCUAUUAGGUUUGGUGGGGUCAGACAGAAGAAUGAAAGCUAUAUAGGUGGGAGUUCCCAUCAUGGCUCAAUGGUUAACAAUUCUGACUAGCAUCCAUGAGGACACAGGUUCGAUCCCCGGCCUUGAUCAGCAGGUUAAGGAUCCGACAUAGCCAUGAGCUUUGUAGGUGGCAGACACAGCUCGGAUCCUGUGUUGCUGUGGCAUAGGCCAGCGGUUACAGCUCUGAUUUGACUCCUAGCCUGGGAACCUACAUAUGCUGCAGGUGCAGCCCUAAUAAGCAAAACAAAACAAAACAAAAUCUAUAUAGGCAAUUAGGUGAAAUAAAGCAGUAAAAAUGAGAAUGAAGAGAUUUAUACUAUGUUUAGGAGAUGAAACAUGCCAAGAUGCACUGACUAGGAAGGAAAAUUCAGGAAUGACUUAGAUUUUCUUCUGGGUCUUUGAAGAUAUUUAAAGAUAAGUACAGAAGCAGCCUACUUAGGAACAAGGACAGUAAGACUGGUUUGAGGCAUAUUGCAUUUUGGUGACUAAGAGAUAUUCAAAUGAAUAUGAGUCUGAAACUCUGCAGAGAGGAAUAAGCUCUAUAUUUAUAGUUAUGAGUCAGCCAUAUGAGUGGUUGUGGAAGUCAGUGUGGAAAAACAUGCCCACACUUGGGAACAAGCCUUUGGGAAUGUUGUAAUUUGGGAGAGAUCAGAAGAAAAGGGAGACUGGAGGUAAUGUCCAGAGAUAUAAUAGGAAAACCAGAGAAGAAAACUGUUAUGAUAGUCAAAGGAAGAAAGGUUUAAGAAAGAGGAAGCUAUUAACAUUGUAAAAUAAUUAAAGAAGAAAUAUAUCCACCUGAUUUAAUAACAUAAAUGUAAUUGGUUGAAAUAAUUUCAUUGCUGUUUUGGGGACAGAAGACGAACUGUUGUCAGAUGAGCAGCAAAUGACCAGUGAGGAAGGGAAAUGGGGAAUGUAAAUGGCUCUUCAAGAAGGGUGGCUACAAAGGAAAAGAGAUAUACAACAGUAGCUAGAGGGGAGUUCCCAUUACGGCUCAGCAAAAACAAAUCUGACUAGUAUCCAUGAGGAUGUGGGUUGGAUCCCCGGCCUUGCUCAGUGGGUUAAGGAUCUUGUGUUGCCAUGAGCUCUGGUGCAGUUCACAGACUUGGCUCGAAUCCUGCAUUUCAGUGGCUGUGCUAUAGGCCGGCAGCUGUAGCUCCGAUUUAACCCCUAGCCUGAGAACUUCCAUAUUCCACAGGUGCAAACCUAAAAAGCAAAGAAAUAAAAAAUAAAAAAAUAAAAAACAAACUCCAAGGCAGGUAGUUGGCUAGGUGAAUGAGACUUCGGCAUUGGGAAAUGCGAAAGACUGUGAAAGCAUGGGUCCUGGUGGAAAUAUACUGUAUAGGUGGUCUGGGGUUGUGGUGUGAGUUAUUUCUUGUUUUUCUGAAUGAAUAAGAAGGCAAACUUAUGUGCUGAGAUCAAGAAUAAAUGGAACAGAGAAAGGAAUCUGAGGCAAGUCUGGAGUACCUAUGGAUUCAAGAGGGAAAAGUAGCUGACUAGCUGCAUAGAGGAGGAUUCCAGGCAGCACUCAGAAUCCAUCAAAGGUCAAAGGGUUUGUUCGAGUUGCUGGCUGAUUUCCCCCAGUGCAACUCAAUAAUCUAGGGAAAGCCUGCUUCAUUUUAUCCCAAGCCUUGUGUACAGAAUUAUCCAUAUUAGAGUGAAAUUGAAUGUCAUGUGAUUUCACUUGAAUUUUAUUGCAAAUUGGUGUGGGCUAAGUGGUAGCUAAGACUGCCAUAAUUAGACCCAUAGGAAGAAACAUAAGAGACUGAAUGAUAGUAUGUGGCAGGAUAAAAACAAAAAAACAGAAGAAUAUGUCCAUAGGAAAAUGUUCUUUUCCUUUGGCUGCUCUGGGCUAUAUCAAGAGGCAUUCAUAUGUGGCCAGGAGCAACAAUUAUUUUUUUAAAUAAGGUUUUCAAGUCCUACAACACUAUUAAUAAUGUCAAAUGAAAAACAUGUGGGAAAAACCACCAUCCAAAGAUAGAUUCAUAUAGGAUAGUGAUUAACCAACUCCAGCCAACAGAUCAGAUAU
rnacentral:lncRNA from 1 species